rnacentral:pre_miRNA from 1 species
UGGUUUUGUCUGAAGUCAAACUUUCUUAAGUUUGACCAAAUUUAUAUAAAAAACUAUCAAUUUUUAUAAUACCAAAUAAACAUACUAUAAAAAUAUAUUUCAUCAUGAAUCUAAUGAUACUUAUUUGGUUUCAUAAAAAAUAGUAAUUUUUUAUAUAAAUUUGGUCAAACUUAAGAAAGUUUGACUUCAGACAAAACCAA